ACGUCACCGUGGGCGAGUGCUGAGAGAAAGCUCCCUAAUGGCAGAGAGCAGCCUCAGGGAGCUGCAGACCUGAAAAUCAUCAGAUAAAGUUUCAAAGAGCCGGGAAAAAAACGUCCAAGCAUCAGAAUCAGGCUCACCAGAAGACUGUCGGGGUCAGGAGCCUGAAGGGCCACCGCUCACCCCAGCGGACACAGAGGAUCUAGACGCACCUGCUUCACACUGUCUCCAUCAGGCAGGCACCAGCGCAGAUACCAGCACCUUGGGAAGGAAAUCUGCCAUCCUUACCUGGUCUGGCCUACUGGUGACUCCACAUCCACAGCAAUGUAUUUGACUCUUAAUUGCCCUGUGCAAUGACCUAGCAAGUCAUUCAUUUCAAGGGCGAUUAGGGAUUUCCAACAAAUGCCAGCCUUGUCAGCGACUCCAGUAUCCCAUGAAAGAACAAAGAAAAGAUAUGCCACCAAGACCUCGGUAACACUUCUCAGUCACAUUUAAUGCAAUCCUGACAGCAACCUGAAAUAAGAUUCCUGCAUUCAUCUGAGCCAGAGUCCAAAACAGACUGCAGUUGACUCCCAUGCCUGGAUUUUGAGCAGCCUAACCAGUGGUCCUUAAUACUUGGUUCCUAUGGCUGCCCAUUACCAGAAUCAUACUCGGUUUGGUGAGCUACGGAAUUUUGGCAUCAUUGAUCAGAGGUCCAAAAUGUAACAGAGAAGAGACAAAUAUGUUCUCAGACUAAAAUUUAGAAAUGUGUAUUUGCCAGAUGUAUUGUACUAUACCUGUUUAUUUUCCAGCCGAUAUUAGAGAGAAUUGGAAGAAACAGCAUCCUCACUCUCCCAGUUUAUGUUGUUUAUGACCCUAAGGUUAAAAGCAUUUUUUUCAUAAUCCAAGAAACAUCAGUUUAAACUAUUCAUUGAUGCCAGUUAUUACAAAAUUAUUCUUUGUUAGUCACAUUAAACAGAAACUAAUGAGCUUUACCCCUCACUGUUCAUCUAGACCACUUGGUGAUCAAAAUCCAUGAACAGCAAUUAUCAUAGAAGAGCUGAUAAAGCCCACUACAAACCAUCACUGUGCAAAGUUGCCAAAUCUCUGGCCUGAUAGCCAACAAGGCUGCAAAAAGGUAAAACAUACAUUGGUCACUGAUCCCUUGGUCAAUGCCUUUAUUCAAAGCUGACACUAAGCAGCAAUUUUCUUCAGUGCCUCUGGGUAUCAAAGAUCAGAAAAAUACCAAAAGUAGGUGACUGGGCUGUGCUGUGAUGCCCUCUUUGUUUAACCUAUAAACACACUAAACAACUCAGCUCACAUGAAGAAUGGUCACCUGGACAAGGCAGCAUUUGAUAUCCAUGGAAUCAUACAAACAGCAUGAGAUAACACUUUAAAUAAGAGAAAAUGAAAAGGGAACUGAAGAAAUAAAACUGUAUAAUGUUUUUAAAAUAAAAUGGAACCCUUCAGAAAAGCUUUAACUGGGUUGCAGCGUGGAACACACGGCUUUGCAUAAUGAAAGCUGCUUGCAUAUACUACCUUGUAUUUUACUCAUUUGUAAAGAAUGUUGAUCUAUGGAUUCCAGCUCCUGUGAAAAUAAAUGAAUUGUCUUUUAAUCCUUCA